AUUGAACGCUGGCGGCAUGCUUUACACAUGCAAGUCGAGCGGCAGCGCGGGGGCAACCCUGGCGGCGAGCGGCGAACGGGUGAGUAAUACAUCGGAACGUACCCAGGAGUGGGGGAUAGCCCGGCGAAAGCCGGAUUAAUACCGCAUACGAUCUUAGGAUGAAAGUGGGGGACCGCAAGGCCUCACGCUUUUGGAGCGGCCGAUGUCCGAUUAGCUAGUUGGUGGGGUAAAGGCCACCAAGGCGACGAUCGGUAGCUGGUCUGAGAGGAUGAUCAGCCACACUGGGACUGAGACACGGCCCAGACUCCUACGGGAGGCAGCAGUGGGGAAUUUUGGACAAUGGGGGGAACCCUGAUCCAGCCAUGCCGCGUGCGGGAAGAAGGCC
rnacentral:rRNA from 1 species